rnacentral:rRNA from 1 species
AUGGACGCUGGCGGCGUGCCUAAUACCUGCAAGUCGAGCGAACGGACGAGAAGCUUGCUUCUCUGAUGUUAGCGGCGGACGGGUGAGUAACACGUGGAUAACCUACCUAUAAGACUGGGAUAACUUCGGGAAACCGGAGCUAAUACCGGAUGAUAUUUUGAACCGCAUGGUUCAAAAGUGAAAGACGGUCUUGCUGUCACUUAUAGAUGGAUCCGCGCUGCAUUAGCUAGUUGGUAAGGUAACGGCUUACCAAGGCAACGAUGCAUAGCCGACCUGAGAGGGUGAUCGGCCACACUGGAACUGAGACACGGUCCAGACUCCUACGGGAGGCAGCAGUAGGGAAUCUUCCGCAAUGGGCGAAAGCCUGACGGAGCAACGCCGCGUGAGUGAUGAAGGUCUUCGGAUCGUAAAACUCUGUUAUUAGGGAAGAACAUAUGUGUAAGUAACUGUGCACAUCUUGACGGUACCUAAUCAGAAAGCCACGGCUAACUACGUG